rnacentral:tRNA from 1 species
CUCUCGGUAGCCAAGUUGGUUUAAGGCGCAAGACUGUAAAUCUUGAGAUCGGGCGUUCGGCUCGCCCCCGGGAGA